rnacentral:rRNA from 1 species
AUUGAACGCUGGCGGCAGGCCUAACACAUGCAAGUCGAGCGCGCGGCGGACGGGUGAGUCAUGUCUGGGAAACUGCCUGAUGGAGGGGGAUAACUACUGGACACGGUAGCUAAUACCGCAUACCAUCAGAUGUGCCCAGAUGGGAUUAGCUAGUAGGUGGGGUAAUGGAUCACCAAGGCGACUAUCUUUAGCGGGUCUGAGAGGAUGAUCCGCCAAGCUGGGACUAAGACACGGCCAAGACUCCAACGGGAUGAAGCAGUGGGGAAUAUUGGACAAUGGGCGCAAGCCUGAUGCAGCGAUGCCGCGUGUGUGAAGAAGGCCUUCGGGUUGUAAAGCACUUUCAGCGGGGAGGCGUUACCCGCAGAAGAAGCACCGGCUAACUCCGUGCCAGCAGCCGCGGUAAUAC